rnacentral:tRNA from 1 species
GGUUCCAUAGUAUAGUGGUUAGCAUGUCUGCUUUACAUGCAGAAUGUCCUGGGUUCACACUCCCGUGGAGCCA